rnacentral:rRNA from 1 species
UACGGAGGGUGCGAGCGUUGUCCGGAAUUAUUGGGCGUAAAGAGCUUGUAGGCGGUUUGUCGCGUCUGCUGUGAAAUCUCAAGGCUCAACCUUGAGCUUGCAGUGGGUACGGGCAGACUAGAGUGUGGUAGGGGAGACUGGAAUUCCUGGUGUAGCGGUGAAAUGCGCAGAUAUCAGGAGGAACACCGAUGGCGAAGGCAGGUCUCUGGGCCACUACUGACGCUGAGAAGCGAAAGCAUGGGGAGCGAACAGG